rnacentral:ncRNA from 1 species
UAGAUGAGUUCUAGCAAAACUGUAUUAAUAAUACUUAGUACUCCUGCGCCAUGUAUCAUAUAUUAAUAUCAUGUAGUACUUUAUUUAUUGCCAUGUAUGACACAUAGUACUCAACUCUCUCUCUUUCUUCAUUUAAUUCUAUGACACCUCAUCAAAAUUGCUAAGGCUAGUACCAUUACAACCAGCCUUAGCAAAUACUACUAAACAUUAAGUUCUCUCGUUUUCCUCUCCACCUUGGUCACCUAGAUGGAGGGAGUAUACUGCGCGGGCUUUUCUUGCGCGGUUGGCGGGGCAGUUCCGCCUAGUCGGUUUGACGGAGACGCGAGAAGACGAGGGAGAAGGCUGCUGCAAACGUAGGGCUGUGUGAUUUGACAAAGAUCCAUCUGUCUAGAGAUCGUCAUAUACAUCUAGAAAGCCGUAUGCUUUGGAAGAAACUUGUACAGUUUGGGAAGGGGUUUUUGAGAGAAAAGAAGAAUCUACUUCAACCGAUAUGCCCUUAGGCACGGCCAUGCAUAACAUAGAAAUCACACGUGGAAGGGGUGGGCAAUUAGUCGGCCUUAGUGAUCCGACGGUGCCGAGUGGAAGGGUCGUUGCUCAACGGAUAAAAGUUACUCUAGGGAUAACAGGCUGAUCUUCCCCAAGAGUCCACAUCGACGGGAAGGUUUGGCACCUCGAUGUCGGCUCUUCGCCACCUGGAGCUGUAGGUGGUUACUGCUAGACAGGUGGGGCCCCGUGAUUUGACUUGCCAUUAUCAUUUUAACUGCAGCGCUACGACCGGUGUGAGUC